UCUGCACCGCUUGCUGGAGGCGGACGCGCUCGUCCGGGGUCCGGGCGGCCCUGGCAGCGGGGUUCCAAGCAGCCCGGUCCGCUGGCACGGGUGUCCGCGCUCCGGGGUGGACGGCUCGCUCCGCUCCGUGUGGACGGCAGUCAGGGCAACGAACUCAAUCUGGCGCUCGUCGCCGGGGGCCGGCGGAACAAGCAUCCUGAGACCGCCGUUAUUAGACGGGCUGGCCGACAUAGCCAGUGUCAAUGAAGCGCCGCGGACGGCAGUUCACUGUUUCCCUGCUGCCUCCUCCGACGCCCUUGGCUGACCCGGAUCUCCGAGGGAGAAGCGGUGGAGUCCUUCAGAUGAUCGGGCUCGGAGCAGAUCUGAACUUGGAUGAGACCCCCGAGGAAGGCAGCCGAGCGGCGGCACCGUGCGGGCACAGCGCGUCUGGCAAAGUGCGCGUACGGAUAAGAAACAGCGCGACUCUGGAGACAAGCGGCGUGCGCGCCUCGGAAAAAAGAAAAGGCGCAGAGGAGGGACGGGGGAAGUAAAGGGGAGGAGAAUAGCUUCUUUUCGCUAACUUUGUCUGAUGUGUUUAUUUCCCCCUUUUGAAUAAGGGAUCUCUUGAACAGAUAUGAUUUAUGACGAUAAAAGCUAAAAUUCAA